UACGAAGAGGGCGAGCGUUGUUCGGAUUUACUGGGCGUAAAGGGCGCGUAGGCGGCCCUCCUUGUCGCGUGUGAAAGCCCCGGGCUCAACCUGGGAAUUGCGCGCGAAACGGGAGGGCUUGAGUUCGGGAGAGGAGCGUGGAAUUCCCAGUGUAGAGGUGAAAUUCGUAGAUAUUGGGAAGAACACCAAUGGCGAAGGCGGCGCUCUGGACCGAGACUGACGCUGAAGCGCGAAAGCGUGGGGAGCAAACAGG
rnacentral:rRNA from 1 species